UUUAUGGAUAAAAGGAACGCUGGCGUGUCUAUGCUGUUAAAUUUCAGCCCAAUAACACGAAAUACCUGGAUAUCGGCAAACGCAGUUGACAAGUAAUCUGGAGUUUCUUUCAAGACAUAGUUAAGAACUUGGAUUUUAUUUUCUUUCUGAUUAAUUUUUUCAUUUUUUUAUUAAUUUUUUCAUACACUAUAUUUUGAUCGGAUUCUUUCCUUUAUUCCAAACUCUCCCCGGUUCUCUCUACCUCCUUAUUUACCCAAGGCCAUGUUCUUUUCCCUCAAAAACAUGAGUCAAAACAAAAAAUGAAACAAAACAUGCACAAAGGAGCUCAUUUUGUUUUCCUGGACGUGGGGUCUGCCCUGCAGUGUGGUUGACAUACCUGUGACACUCUAUUAGAGAAAACUAAUUUUCCUUUUCCUGGAGGUAUCAAUUGGCGAUAGCUUCUCUGUAAGCAGUGGGGCUUUGUGUCCACUUAUCUUUCUCAGCGCUGGGGUUUAGUCCGGUUGGUAACCUGUGCAGCCUCUGUGUGUGCAUAGUCUCUGUGAAGUGUUGUAUGUAUCCUGUGCAUCUGGAGGACACUGUUUCCUUGGAGUUUGCCUCUGACUCUUAGAAUCUUUCUGCCCUCCUCUUCCUCUCUCUGAGCCUUGACAUAUCUUCAUUCUAAACCCUUAUAUACUGCUUUCAAAAGGGUAUCGGUAGCAUCAGAUUUCUUGUUGAGUAUGAGUUUGUAAAUUGCAAGGUUUCCAAUACUGAGAAUAUAGAUUUCAGUUAUGCUUCAAACAGCUCAUGUCUUCCUUCGUAAGAUGACACAACCAUGUAGAAUUUUCAGUAUGCAAUGUAUAUAAGUAGUAAAUUGUUCAAGAUUCAGUCUCUUAGAUUUUGAGGGGCUUUGUCACCAUCUUUUCUUAGCUUUGUCUGGGUUAUAUUGUCCUGAGUGUAGUAAGUACAAUAGUUUCCCAAUUGCAGAAACAUUUAUUUAAUGGAUGUUUAUUAAACACCUAAUAUACUCCAGUUAUAACAAAAGCAUCAGGCAUCUUCUGAUGAUCAAAAUACAGCCUCUGUAAAAAGGGCACAGUAUAUGUCCAGUAGCAGUGAAAUCUUAGGGGCAUCAGGUCUCUUGUAUUAUGCGAUCACUUGCUUUAGCAUUGGUUUUGUUUGUUUUUCUUUUGUUUUUAAUAGAAAAGUAAAACAAGCAAAUAAAAAUGAAGAUACUAGAACAAUCCAGACACUUUCCUCUGAAUUGUACUGUAGGGUUUCUAGGAAGCCCUCUCCCAUCUUGAACUCUCUGUCUAAGGGAGUGGUUCUCAACCUCUCUAACGCAAACCUUUAAUGUUCCUCAUGUUGUGGUGACUCCAACUAUGGAAUUAUUUUUGCUGCUACUUUAUGCCUGUAAUUUUGCUAUUGUUAUGAAUUAAAAUGUAAAUAUUUUUGGAGAUAAAAGUUUGCCAAAGGAGUUAUGACCCACAGGUUGAGAUCUACUGGUCUAAAAAUGUCUCCAUGUGGAAUUUGAAAUUUACUCUUCCUCCAAACCUGAUUUUUAACCGAACAUUAAUUUAUUUUAUUAUGUGAUACUUGUCUCAUUGGGACAACUCAGCCUAUGACAACCUAAAAAGAAUCAAAACUGGAUUUUUAGAGCAGAAAUCCUGGUAGCAAUAAAUAACUAUAGUAUGAAAUUUCUACUUUUUUUAUUUGUUUCCUGGUGAACCGCUGUUCCUGGAAGAUAGUGAGACGUGGGCAAGGAAUCCCUGGUUUUGGAUGACAGGGGAAAAUUACAUGUUUGACCACGUAAAACUUUUGAUUCUUGGAAAAGUCUGGACUGUAAAAGGCACCAUACAUACUCAGUAAAAUAAAAGUAGGCUUUAUCAACACAUCUGAGCGGCCUAUUUUAAGUGGAGCAGAGACAGACAAACAUACCAUCUUUGGUUCUUCCCAAGACAAGUGUUUCCAAAUCUAAGUAGGGUUGUAGGAAUCCAGUAUUUGUAGAGAGGCCAAGGAGCACAAGUGGUAUUCUCAUAGUCAUGUAAAAGCAGAGUUGUUUCCAUGUAAAAUGAGCAUGCUGAUUGGUGAGAGAGUCAUAUUGUGAAGGCAGUGGGGCUUGCUGUACCUGACAGUAUAAUUACACUGUUGGAGGAAAGAGCAGAGAGAGGGCCAGCGUUGAACCAGAAACCACUAUUUAUAUAAUAUUUAGAGGAGACAAUCUGUACUUCGGUUGAGUUAGGUCUUGUAACGCCAGUUUCUUAAAGGGCCAUUUAGUUACUGACAGGUCCUUCAGGCUUGCUGCAUGUGGAUGUAAGGGAAGCACUAAAAUUUCAGCUUUCAUGCUAAGUCAUUGUAAAAGUAUUAUAAUUUAAAAUGGAGAUUUACAAUUCUAAAUAAUCAUAGUUUGGAAUUUCAUUGCUCUUUUGCAAAUUUAAGAGUGGCGGUUCAUAUUUGAAAGAUGACUCAUGAGCUUUUCAUUGUUCUGUUUAUUAGUCAACCCAGACUUGUGACACCAUCCUUUCCCAGUAGAUCCUGGAGUGUGCAUCUUUAUGUCACCUAGCAGAGAGAAGAGUUCAUUUCCUGCAGCUCUGAGUAACAUGGCAUCUAAGUAGUGUAAGCCCUUGUGAUGGUGGUAAUGAUGACACUGUAUAGCCACUUCAUGAAGGGCAAACCUGUUUUGAUAGUUCAAAAAUAAACACAAGUAGAAAUAUUAGAGACAUUUUUAUAACUUGGGGUUUAUAAGCAGUCAUAUAUUG
rnacentral:lncRNA from 1 species